AUCUCUCUGGAUAGAGGUUGUGUUCCUUUCAAGCUGUCUCUGGUCCUCAGAUGAGAGUGACUUUCAGGAUAAAGAUGAGGAAUGAGAUGAGCAGCAACCAGUCAAAUCUGCUGUGCAGCUAAUUGAGGAAUGAUCAGUGCUGUGAAGAGCAGAACUGACUAAGUGAAGACUCUGGGGCAUAAUGUUAUUUGGCUGGAUUUUCUGGCAUUUAAAAAUAGCGUUUUCCCUGCUGUAACUUUCCCCUUCAGAGGGCUGCUCUUCCCUCUGCCCUAGUUGCCUAUUUUCACAACACCAGUAGGAAUGCAAUAAUUCUUUUCAGCCUCUUGUCAAUUUUGAUCAACCUACAGAUUCAAGGUUGUUAGUGGGUAACUGACAGCCAGAGUGAAUGGUAAUUCUUGUUUGCUUGAAAAAGAGGAAAGAAGAAAAAUCAGAUCAUUUAGAGGGGAACAAAAGGGGCCGAUCAGGAGAGAGAAGCAAAAGGAGCGAUGAGCUGGAUGCUUUUUACUGGUUACUCUAUACCCAGAUGUUAUGUCUGUAAAGAAGCCUGUUUCAUACUUCAGAAUAUUUCCACAAAGAGAGAUUCUGACAGCUUCCACUUUUCUCUCAUUUUGCAUGAUGCUCUUAGACCAGGUGCUGCACACUUUCCAGAAUUAAAGACCCCCGCAAAGGCCUCUUUCCCAGAGCAGAGCUAUCCCAGCUGUGCUCAGACAACGCUGACAUCCACUUUCCCUUAAAUUUGCUACUAGUUUGUCUUUGAAAUGAAAACUCCCCUCCUUCUCUUGUCCAAAUUCCUGGGUUUCACCCCAGAGGUAGCUGUAUUUCACUGUCAAUUGAGCUGACCAUGAGGGAUGAGUAUUCCCUUCUGCUUCAUCAUGAAAAAGGGACUGCAGAAGAGCUCUCUUUUCUAUGUACUCCUCAGCUGUCAUCACUAUGCAAAAGAUCAUUUAAUGAAUCUCCAGCAAGAUGUUUGAAAUGACAGGAAGGAUCUACCUUUUCAGCUGGACGUUGGCGCACAGCUCCCCAAGCUGCUGCAGCUUUGUGCAUUUCUCUGCAAAGACAGCAAUGUUAAAAGUAGAGCUGCUGAUGGAAAAGCAGCAAAGAGCCGCACAGGGAAGGGGAGACAGAUGUGGCUGUCCUACCACUUCAUUUCUCUUAGCAGUUUGCAUAGUUGGGAAAUGGGGAGAAGAUGGACAGUAUGUCCCUUUGCCCAUGGUCCCAAGUCCUGCUAGAAAGGUGAAGGAAAGAGGCCUGCAAGGCAAUGAAGUGGAGAUUUGUCCGGGCCAGAAGCUUGGGUAGUAAUUCUGCAAGAGCUCAUAGGAACACAUACACCUCUGGCUGCUGGAACCUGUUUGACUGCCAGAGGGGACAUGAGCCAGAAGACCAGGUCACCCAAGAAAAAAAACCCCCAAAGUAUAAAAGAACUCAAAACCAACAACACAGAAAGAAAGAAAUAGCACACAGACCUCCUCCAAAAUACCAACAGAAUCAGCCCCACGACAGGCUCAUUGAAGAUAAAGGAGUCUUCACCAGGGAUGAAUUUGCUGUGGUAUAAUUAAUUCCCCUUUGGAACAGUUGCCAGCAGGGAUAUCUGAUUAAAAAUCUCUCCCUCCUCCAAUAGGAAGCACCUCCUGAAGCACAGCACCUCCCUUCCAUUCCCCACAGCAGGAAGCACCACUCCAAGCCCCAGUGUGAGACUUGAACCUGCAGUGACCUCCUGAGCCCUGCAGUGGAGGAUAUAUUAGCCAGUGAGUCAUGUUGACUCUGGCUUGAAUCUAAAUAGGCCUCUUCUCUCAUACCAGAGAAACCACGUUCAUACAGCUACGGACCUUGCCUGUAUCGGAUGACCCUUAAUGCAUGAAUUGGGUGGUGCUCGUUGCUGACAUCCUUGCCUGGAGGAAAGGAGUGAGCAAUGGGGUGGGGAUGUCAAAAUCCAGUUCCUCCAGAAGCUACAUCCUCUCUGUAAUUUAGGAUGCAGAAGGAAUUGUCAUCCAAUUUGUACAUUAGAGACUAAACCAGCACUCUAAAUAAUGGAAAUAACGACUUC
ensembl:lncRNA